GCCGCGCCAGGCACGCGGCGCGAGCGGCGGCUGCAGGUUGUUAAGCUCGCGGAGGGAAGCGCCCUCGCGGCUUCCCUUUGGUGUGCGCCCGCGGCUGCCACGCCAGGGGAAGCGCCUGGCCUGAUUUGUUCAACUUCGGGGGCAUUCGCUGCGCUCCGGCCUCCCUCCCGGGUCUCCCCGCCGCGCCCCUGCCCCGUCUUGCUUCCCCGGGGCUCCGGAAGGGAAGGAGGCGUGUCCGGAGCAGGCGGGAGGGACCUGUAUAAAAGUGCUGGCGGCGCGCCGGCCGGGGCUUCACUCGCCGCCUUGCGCCGGGACUGGGAUCGCUGCGGGAAAGCACGGGCCGGGGAGGGGGCGCUGCGCUCGGGCUACCCAAUGCGUGGACUAUCUGCAGCCGCUGCUCGUGCAAUAUGCUGGAGCUCCAGAACAUCUAAACGGAGUCGCCACACCGCUGCCUGGACUGGAUCACAGCGCUGCCUUUCCUUAUGAAGAAGACACAACUAUGCAAUUUUUUAAAAACCUACAGUGAAGUGUAACUUGAUUUACCUGUGCUACUUGUUUACCCAGCCUAGUAAUAAUUUGAUAUGGUGGCUUCAAUCAAAAACUGAUUCAGCUAAAUGGACCUAUACGCCAUCCACAGCACUUGGAUUGUCACUUGCAUUUAUCUUCAGCUGCUCCUAUUUAACCCUCUGGUCAAAACUAAAGGGCUCUGCAGGAACCGUGUGACUGAUGAUGUGAAAGACGUUACAAAAUUGGUGGCAAAUCUUCCAAAAGACUAUAAGAUAGCCCUCAAAUAUGUCCCCGGGAUGGAUGUUUUGCCUAGUCAUUGUUGGAUAAGCGUGAUGGUGGAACAGUUGUCAGUCAGCUUGACUGAUCUUCUGGACAAGUUUUCGAAUAUUUCUGAAGGCUUGAGUAAUUAUUCUAUAAUAGACAAACUUGUGAAAAUAGUGGAUGACCUUGUGGAGUGCGUGGAAGGACACUCAUCUGAGAAUGUAAAAAAAUCAUCUAAGAGUCCAGAACCCAGGCUUUUUACUCCUGAAGAAUUCUUUAGAAUUUUUAAUAGAUCCAUUGAUGCCUUCAAGGACUUGGAGAUGGUGGCAUCUAAAACUAGUGAAUGUGUGGUUUCUUCAACAUUAAGUCCUGAAAAAGAUUCCAGGGUCAGUGUCACAAAACCAUUUAUGUUACCCCCUGUUGCAGCCAGCUCCCUUAGGAAUGACAGCAGUAGCAGUAAUAGGAAGGCCACAAAUCCCAUAGAAGACUCCAGCAUACAAUGGGCAGUCAUGGCAUUACCAGCGUGCUUUUCUCUUGUAAUCGGAUUUGCUUUUGGAGCCUUCUACUGGAAGAAGAAACAACCGAAUCUCACAAGGACAGUUGAAAAUAUACAGAUUAACGAAGAGGAUAAUGAGAUAAGUAUGCUGCAAGAAAAAGAGAGAGAGUUUCAAGAGGUGUAAUUGUGGCUUAUAUCAACACUGUUACUUUUGUGCCUUGGCGGGUAACAGUUCAUGUUUGCUUCAUAAAUGAAGCAGCUUUAAACAAAUUCAUAUUCUGUCUGGAGUAACAGACUGCAUUUUUAUCUGUUCUUGCUACCCAUGACUCUAUAUGGAUUAUUCACAAAUUGGAACAAAAUGUUUUACUGUGAAACUGGCACUGAAUUAAUCAUCUAUAAAGAAGACCUUGCAUGGAGCAGGACUCUAUUUUAAAGACCUGGGGGACUGGUGGUCUCAUUUAGAACUUGCAACUGACGUUGGGAGAGAAAGCACGUGUCCCAGAUUGCAUGCACCAUUUUGCAUGCCUCCAGAAGUGUCUAAUUGCUGAAAAGUCACAUAGCUUUAUUUUCAGUUACAACCUGCAGUUCAUAGUAAUCUUGGUCUUUGCAAGUAGAUUUCAUCCUGUAUAGUGGGGAUAAUUUUUCUGAAAUGAAUCUAGAAAAAAUGUUAAAAACAAAAACUCAACAGCAUCAGCCAGUCUACAUUUAGAAAGCAGUAGGAACAAAAUGAUUGGAGUAGGCAACAUGUCAGCCUUGUAGCUGCUAAUUAAUGGUCUGGGUCUGAUCUUGGUCUCUUCUUGACAUAAACCUAUCUCCCACUAAACAAAUGGACAUGGUUAGCUGGAUCUAUCCAUGCUUGGGAGUCAGUAUUGUAUUAGAACAGUGAUGACAUCAAUAAAAUGGAAAAAAGAACCUGAAUGGGAGAAAAUAAUUGCAAGUCAUAUAUCUGAUAAGGGGCUAAUAGCUAAAUCUACCAAGAACUCCUACAAUAAUAGCAAAAAAAAAAAAAAAAAAAAAGAAAAAAGAAAAAAACCUCUAACUUAAAAAUGGGAAGAUCUGAGUAGAUGUUUUUCCAAAGAAGACCUGCAAAUGGCCAACAGAGAGGAGACUCUCCAAAGGAGUUAUGGCCCAAAGAAGCCAUGAACACUGAACAGCACGGUCACUGAGGAGGACAUUUUGCACCCCUUUCCCCUACCACUUAUAGAGUGUAUAAAUUGUGCUUGCAAAAUAUAUUAUGAAAUGUUUAUAUUCUAAAACUAUUACAGAGUUAUGUAAAGGGACUUAAGAGAAAUUGCUGAAUGUAUGAAGGUCUCAUUUUCAAUUUACAUCAUGAGAGAAACUAAAAAUUAUAUUUAGUAUCUAAGAUUAGAAAACCACACCCACAUGGUAAUAUGGGUAUUGAAAAUUAGGUUACAUGGCUUUUAUAAGAAUGAAAGGAAUCAGGAAAUUUUAGCUAUUUCUCGUAUAAUCACCAUUAUCAGUUUAAGGGAUCCAUUUAUUUAAAAUCAGGCACUCUAUAUUAAUAUUUAUGAAUUUAAAAUAGCGAGCUUUAUGUAGUUAUGCAUGUCAGUUUGCUGUUUGUGACAGCGUUUGUUGUAUUAAGAGUGAAUUUGGUAAGAAUUCUCAAGAUGGACAUCAUGCUUUUAAACUAAAACUUGUAAGACAUUUUGUGAAUUUCCCUUUGCCAUUUUUUUUAAUAGUCGAACAUCUGACUAAAGAAAUGGUUUCUUGUGGUUUAAGAUUCUUUCAGUAGAUCAUGAACAUACAGAUGAAGGGAUUCAAAGCUUUCUAUUAUAACUUAAUUCUUGUUAUAACAUUAUUGUCAUGUUCUACCCCCUCAGAUGAUCAUUUUCAAUGUAGUGAUACAAAAGGGCAUGAAAAACUGCUAGCUUUCCUUUAUUUCAAAAGUCCAAGAAUUUCUAGUAUAGUUGGACUUCAUGUUAAAAGAGGAUCCAAAUACAACCCCAGUGAAGCGGCUUUUGCGCUUUUUUGUACCAAAAAGCCCAGAUGAUAUUUCUAUGAUCCCUUCCUUCUCUAAAGUGCUGGGCUUCCUCAGAUGGUAGUCAUUUCUCUAAGAUACAACCCAGGUGUUUUGGGAAGCUGCAUUGACUUACUCAGGCCCUUAAAUAUCCCAUGGAUCAAACGUUUAGUAAUAAAACCAGCGAUCAGUUUAAUUGCUGAAAGGACCUCUCAGUGUGUGAUUUUGAUUUUUUUUUGAAGAAACUAGAUAUAAGUUAGUAUGAGCUAUGUGUGUAGGUCAGGUGUAGAUUGAGAAGAUUGAUACUUCUCAAUUUAAUAGUUUAUUUCACCAAUGGUUUUGAUUUUCUUAGCCAUGAAAAAAAUGCUGUUUAAUGAGCUUGAGAGUACAAUAAAUGCACUUUUAUUCUCAAAGGCAGGAGCUGGGUUUUAACACUCAAGGACAUGGUCCUAAUCAAUAGAGUUAAAUAACAAAUUCAGCAAGUUAUGAAAUCUGGCAUCAUAGGCAAGGGGUAAUAUAUUCUACCUAAUUAAAUGUAUUAGUUCAUUGAGAGUUACUUGAAUUACCAAUUUUUAAAACACUAAGGUUCAAUAAAAUGCAUGAACAGUAGAAAAAGGCUGAACAUGAUUUUGGAUGCUGGCUGCUUGGGAAUUAUAUGUUAUAUCUGCUUUGAGAUGAAUGUGUGUGUGUAUGUGUAUGUAUGUGUGUAUAUAUAUAUAUACACACAUACACACACACAUUUGCUUUAUUUUAUCUGAUAUGUGUGCUGAAUAUCCUUCAGAAAUCAUGGAAAACUCACAACUGAUAUUAUCAAUCAUGAAAUCACCUUUUAAAUUGGUGCCAUGUAUCUGAUAUCUUUUGUAAUGUUCCAAAAUUGCCUUUUAAAAUGAUCUCAGAAGUCUGCAGAUUCUAAAUUAUACUAAAAGCUUUGCACCUCUUUGGUAGAACACAAGUCUAUAAAGAAACUGGCUCUGUGAUAAAUGGUGCCUGCCCAGUAAUAUCAAAGUGUUGCCGGAUUUUGUAUUAUAAUCUAACGUGCUUACCACACUGCCAUUUUUUAAUGAGUCAGACAAAUUUCAGUUUUUUUCAAUAUGAUAAUAGAAUAAGUACCCUAUUCUCUUUAAAAAGAAUUAAGUAUAUGAAGAAUGAAAACGUGUUUUUUAAUGUAGUGUUUGCUUUUAGUAAGAAUUAACACAUUUAAUUGAGUAUGAAAGUACUUCGGGGAAACUUUGUGGCAUAUUUUGGUAUUCUAAUUCAACUGAGGUUUGAAAUUAACAGAAAAAUCCAUUCAUGAUUCAUGAUUCAUGGAUAUCUCAAUAUUUUUCUGCAGCUAGGUUUUGGUUUCAAAAUGUAAUUCCAAUAUGGGGCUUUUAGCCAUUUCCCACGUAUUCUUAGAAAUUUUUCAAAAGACAGUUUGGCAUAGUGAGGCAGAUGUUGGAAAAAAUUGUGAGAAACUUCUCUGCUAUUAACUGAUAUUGGUAAGUCACCUCUUCUCUUUGGAUCUCCAUGUUUUAUUUAUGGUGAAGUUGGAGGUCACACCUUAGGUGUGAAACCUAUUGAUAUCUGACUGACAAAGACAACAAAAUAGAUCUGAAACUAUUCCAUAUGAGAUGUUCCAUUCUGAUCUGUGAAUAAGCAAUUUGAACACAAAAAGUCAUUGCUAUUCUUGUUUGUAAUGUAAAUAGGAUCCAUUAGUAAAAGUAAAAUUCAAUCUCCUAUAGGGUGAAUUGGGUAACCAUUUACACAAGAGAUGGCUUUUUCCUUUGCUUAAGUAAACAUUUUUGGAUCACCUCUGAAGAAUGAAAACCACAAGUGCAUAUUAGUCAGGAAGAGAUACUAUAAGAUAUGUGCAACAUUUGGAAAUGCACCAAAUUAAGCAUUUAAAUGCUGUCAUUUUAUUAAAAGCUUAGAACAGAAAUGUAAGAUGCUUAAAGUUUUUGAGUGCCAAAAAAUAAUUUAUAAUCCAUUUGGAAAGGGGUCAUCCAUAAAUUGCAUUUUAAAAUUAGAAGGUGGGAUAAGAAUUUUAAAGUAAGCCAGCUUGUCUUUGAAACAGUAUUAUUUUGUAAAAUUGGCAUUAAAAUAUAAACAUUGAAAUUCUAACUAGUUAAUUUAUGAUAUUUUAUUGCACAAAUUAUGGUUUUGCUGCUUUUCAUUAACAAGUCUGGAAAUGCCUUUGUUACAAAUUAGUAAUGGUACUUUUAUUUCCUAACAAGAUGUUUUAGAAAUAAUUUAAAGUGGAUAUUCAUAAUCCUAAAAUGUUUCCUAAGCAUUGUAAAUUUAUAACUGCCAUCUCCAACUACAUCCUUAUGAUGUUUUUAAAAAUAAAAUUGUUUUAAAAGCAUAGUAUUUUCAACUACUUGAUUUCUCAGCUAUAAGGCUCAAAAUUUUUCAAUAAAAAUAUCCUAUAUUCUAAGGAUUAAUGUGUGAUUAUAGUGUCCAUUUGUUGCUAUUUUUUAAAUUGAUGGACUUGAAAAGUAUUCAAACAUUUAGAUGGAUGCAUAGAUACAUUGCUAGUUCAUUCAUAGAUUGGAGUUUGCAUAUUGUAAUGUAAAUGUAUGUCAACACUAUUCUAGUUUAUUAUGACUGAAGUGUAAUUAAAUAAAAAACGUUGUAAAAUGUGAUGUGUAUGUGUAUAUACUAUAUGUGUACUUUUUAAACUAGGUAUAUGUCCUGACCCUUUUUUAUACAGGUUUGAAUUUGAAAUUACAUUAUAUAUAUACAUAUACUUUAUUGUUCUAAAUAAAGAAUUUUAUGCACUCUCA